rnacentral:ncRNA from 2 species
UAGGGAGAAAACGAUUCGGGUACCUGCAGCUUCAGUCGGCAGAUGCAGGUGAAAGAGGGAACUUCGUGUAAUUCGAAGACGGGCCCGCCGCUGUGACCGGGGACUGCCCCUGAACGAUCGCCACUGUCAGCUCAUGAUGGGAAGGCUCGGGGAAGGAGAGAUCCGGAAGUCAGAAGACCUGCCUGAAUUGUAGGGUCAUG